rnacentral:rRNA from 1 species
GACGAACGCUGGCGGCGUGCUUAACACAUGCAAGUCGAACGGAAAGGCCCUGCUUUUGUGGGGUGCUCGAGUGGCGAACGGGUGAGUAACACGUGAGUAACCUGCCCUUGACUUUGGGAUAACUUCAGGAAACUGGGGCUAAUACCGGAUAGGAGCUCCUGCUGCAUGGUGGGGGUUGGAAAGGUUGGGCGGUUGGGGAUGGACUCGCGGGUUAUCAGCUUGUUGGUGGGGUAGUGGCUUACCAAGGCUUUGACGGGUAGCCUGCUUGAGGGGGUGACCGGCACGGUGGGGCCUGGGAAGGGGCCCAGCAGCGGGGUGGGGGGAAGGAGGGGAGAAGUGCAGCAGGGGGGAGGCCGCGUGUGGGAGCGAGGCGGGGGGGGGGUGACGCCCUUGGGUUUGUGAACCGUGUUCGCCUGGGGUGGGGGGGGGUUGACGGUAGUGGGAAAAGAAGCGCCGGCUAACUACGUG